UUUAAAACAUCAACUCUAAACUUUAAAUCGUCAACUAUAAACCCUAAACAAUGAAACAUCAACUCUAAACCCUAAACCCCAAAACAUCAACUCUAAACCCUAAACCCUAAAACUUUAAAUUUAAACCCUAAAACAUCAACUUUAAACCCUAAACGUAAACCCUAAAACUUCAAAUCUAAACCCUAAACGUAAACCCUAAACCCUAAAUCUAAACUUAAAACAUCAACUUUAAACCCUAAAUCAUCAACUCUAAACCCUAAACCAUGAAAAAUCAACUAUAAACCCUAAACCCGAAACAUCAACUCUAAACCCUAAACCUUCAAAUCAAAACCCUAAAACAUCAACUCUAAACCUUAAACGUAAACCCUAAACCCUAAACCUUAUAUUUUUUUCUGAAAUUCGAGCCCUAAACCCUAAAACCCUAAACCUGCAAAUCUAAACCCUAAAACAUCAACUCUAAACCCUAAACGUAAACCCUAAAUCUUUAAAUAUAAACCCUGCAACAUCAACUCUAGGGUUUUAGGGUUUAGUGUUUAGGAUUUAGGGUUUGGGGUUUAGAGUUGAAGAUUUAGGGUUUAGGGUUUAGAGUUAAUGUUUUAGGGUUUAGGGUUAAUUUUUUAGGGUUUAGGGUUUAGAAUUUACUUUUUAGGGUUUUGGGUUUAGUGUUGAUAGUUUAAGAUUUAGUGUUGAUGGUUUAGGGUUUAGAGUUUAGAGUUGAGUUUAGGGUUUAGGGUUUAGAGUUGAUGUUUUAGGGUUUAAAGUUGAAGGUUUAGGGUUUAGAGUUGAUGUUUCGGGGUUUAGGGUUUAUAGUUGAUGUUUCGGGGUUUAGGAUUUAUUUAAAAAAAAAAGGGUUUAGGAUUGAUGGUUUAGGGUUCGUAUUUAAAAAAAAUAAUAGGAUUUAUGAUUGAUGGUUUAGGGUUUAGAGUUGAUUUUUAGGGUUUAGGGUUUUAAUUCCAAAAUAGUAUAAUUCAGAAAAAAAUUAAAAAAAUUAUUUUUUUAGAUUUUUAGCUAUUUAAAUAUUUAUUUAUUAUAUAUAUAAAGAAUAUGGAAAUAAGAGUCUUUUGUCACUUAAUGAAGAAGUUAUUUUUGAAAAUGUCUCUUUAGUGGUUGUAAAAAUGAAAAGUGGUAGCAUAAAAAUGGUAAACAUGUAAUUUCCCCUUCUUUUUUUUUUAAUUAUAACAAAAUCUGUUGCGAAAGAAUCUAACAAAACUAUAUCUCUUUUCCGCGCGAAGCGCGGAUAAUUGUUUUUUAUAUGUAAUUGUUGAUUUGUUAUAUGAAUAUCAAAUAUUGUAGACUAUAGUUGCUUUUUAUAUUUAAUUGUUGAUUUUGUUGUAUUAUUUUUAUAUUAUCUCUUAUUAUUGUUGAUUUUGUUUAAUAUUGAAAGUAUUUAAAUUCAAAGAAAAUGUUUUUUUCUUGUUUUCUCUUGUUUAAAAGUGUUUCCUAAUUUUAUUUCAAAACACUUUUAACGUAUUGUAAUAGAUAAGUUUUUAUUUUUGUGGUAUUGAACUUUUAAUAAGCUAAGGUGGAUCAAUAUCUAAUUAAAUGUAAAUAGUAGUGUACAUAAUUUUUUUAUAAAGACUAAUUUUAUUAAACUUAGGUGGAAAAUUGCCAAAAAUACAAUUUUCAAAGUACUACUUUUCAUGUUUACACUAACCACUUUUACUCUCGUCUUUAAUGAAAAGUAAAAGAUAUUUAUAAUCCUUUCAUUAAAUUUGACAAAAAAAUAUACGCUUAACUAAUCUAAACUUAAAUCAUCAACUCUAAACCCUAAAUCAUCAACUCUAAACCCUAAACCAUGAAACAUCAACUCUAAAUUCUAAACCCCGAAACAUCAACUAUAAACCCUAAACCCUAAACUCUAAACCUUCAAAUCUAAACCCUAAAACAUCAACUUUAAACCCUAAACGUAAACCCUAAACCCUAAAUUUAAACUUAAAACAUCAACCCUAAACCCUAAAUCAUCAACUCUAAACCCUAAACCAUGAAAAAUCAACUCUAAACCCUAAACCCCGAAAAAUCAACUCUAAACCUUAAACCCUAAACCUUCAAAUCUAAACUCUAAAACAUCAACUCUAAACCCUAAACGUAAACCCUAAACCCUGAACCCUAUAUUUUUCUAAAAUUCGAACCCUAAACCUUCAAAUCUAAACCCUAAAACAUCAACUCUAAACCCUAAACGUAAACCCUAAACCCUGAACCCUAUAUUU
rnacentral:lncRNA from 1 species